AUAGUAUAUCCUGUUGUUUUAUUUAUAUACAACUAACUUCAAACAAAGUUUUGCAUUCACUGCUUUCAUAUUCUCAUUCAAUUUACAGUUUGAUGUAGGCCUACUAAACAAUACAUGAUGAAAUUUCACGACAUUUUAUUUGACUUUUGUACUAUUUAUGUAAAUGCUUAACUUUGAUGUGUUUUAGGCCAUGUUGGCCAAUCAGAAGCCUGACAAAGUUUCAAGUAGGCGGAGAUAUUGGAUUUUCUCUUUAUGCACUUUUAUCACCGUAAACCUAAAAUGUCUGCUUUCUGACUUUUCCCCAUUUACUUCAUGGUCAACCCGGUUCUUGACGCGUACGGCCCGAUGAUUUCCGCGAUGCAGAAAACGCGGACGGAAUCUCGGAAUACGGAAUUACAGUUUAGCACGGAAUGUCACGGAGUUUGUCAAAGUUUGGAUGAAUUAAUCAAAAGUAGGUCAUUGCACUUAAAUCAAAUCGCGACGUGGACUAGUAUCUGUAAAUAUUAAGCUGCAAAAGUCGAUUCAAAUAUGAAUCCCGCAUGUUCUGCGAGUCUCUGUGUGUGUGAGUGAAUGAAUGGCAGAGACGCGCGGUUUUUUCUUUUUUUUACUACAUACACUGAAGCGCGCCUGAUGCUCGCGGUGAUUCAUCAUCUGCCGUCUCAAUGAGGACAUAAAUACAUAAACAACAUCUACAGAACUGCUCUGAGAGUCCCCUCGCGAGCAUUUUACCGUUUCAUUGAGGAAAAACCAGCGUCAUAUCAUAUAGCUACACAGAAAUGUAAAGCAUGUGGUACCGAAAUUGGUACCGAGAACCGUGGAUUUUGACUGGUAUCGGUACCGAAUACUGAAAUUUUGGUACCGUGACAACACUACAGGAAACAGAGCUGGAGCGGAGCAGAUCUCCUGUCGAAGAACAUCUCCAAAGCGCCAUGAACCAUCUGACUAGGCAGUUCGUGAAGACGAAUAACCUGGACAGAAGUCGGUUCCAGAUCCAGCCUCCACACCAGACUUCUCACUCACAAGGAUUGCUGUCUACUAGAUAUGUGUACUCUUCAGACUUAGGUUCAUGCAGAUAUUAUUCAGGGACAUGAACACUUGAAUACUGCAAAAAUAGAGAAACUACCUUAUUUAAGAAUUUUGUGUUAAUUGCGUGAACAUUAAACAAAUAUAUAUUUAUUUUACUGUUUUUUGUUUUGUAUU